rnacentral:lncRNA from 1 species
AGGAGAGGAAAGGAAAGGAAGAAAGGAAGAGGAAAGGAAAGGAAGAAAGGAAGAGGAAGGAGAUCCCGGUUGCGCUGCCAGCUGAAGGAAAAAGUGUAGAUCUCCUUCUCCUCUACGCAAGGACCUCGAUUUUCAAAAAGAAAAGAUAAAUAUCCGUCUCUAUCUAGUCUUUUGAUGACAUUAGGCUAUACAAAGGGUGGAUAUAGUUUAGAGGGGUCGGAUAAGGGUUGUAGAGGCGGUUAAAAGAGGAAGAAUCGGAUUUUGACAAAUUUUUCCGGCACUACGGAAAAACUGUGUCGAAGUCCCAACUUCGGCAAAUUAUUUAGGGGG